CACGUGACUAACCUACCUCCGAGUGGGGAAUAACCUAGGGAAACCUGGGCUAAUACCGCAUAACACUUACGAGUCAAAGCAGCAAUGCGCUUGGAGAGGGGGUCGGCGGCAGAUUAGCUAGUUGGUGGGGUAAGUGGCCCGAACCAAGGCGGAUGAUCUGUAUCCGGCCUGAGAGGGCGGCACGGACACACUGGAACUGAAACACGGUCCAGACUCCUACGGGAGGCAGCAGUGGGGAAGUUUGUCGCAAUGGGGGAAACCCCGACGACGGCAGCAACGCCGCGUGGAGGAUGAAGUCUC
rnacentral:rRNA from 1 species